UACGUAGGGUGCAAGCGUUAUCCGGAAUUAUUGGGCGUAAAGAGCUCGUAGGCGGUCUGUCGCGUCUGGUGUGAAAAUCCAGGGCUUAACCCUGGACCUGCAUCGGGUACGGGCAGACUAGAGUGCGGUAGGGGAGAUCGGAAUUCCUGGUGUAGCGGUGAAAUGCGUAGAUAUCUGGAGGAACACCGGUGGCGAAGGCGGCAUCCUGGACCGACACUGACGCUGAGGAGCGAAAGCCAGGGGAGCAAACGGG
rnacentral:rRNA from 1 species